CCUACGGGUGGCAGCAGUGGGGAAUAUUGGACAAUGGGGGCAACCCUGAUCCAGCCAUGCCGCGUGUGUGAAGAAGGCCCUCGGGUUGUAAAGCACUUUCAGUGAGGAAGAACGCCUGGUGGUUAAUACCCAUCAGGAAAGACAUCACUCACAGAAGAAGCACCGGCUAACUCCGUGCCAGCAGCCGCGGUAAUACGGAGGGUGCGAGCGUUAAUCGGAAUUACUGGGCGUAAAGCGAGCGUAGGUGGCUUGAUAAGCCGGUUGUGAAAGCCCCGGGUUCAACCUGGGAACGGCAUCCGGAACUGUCAAGCUAGAGUGCAGGAGAGGAAGGUAGAAUUCCCGGUGUAGCGGUGAAAUGCGUAGAGAUCGGGAGGAAUACCAGUGGCGAAGGCGGCCUUCUGGACUGACACUGACACUGAGGUGCGAAAGCGUGGGUAGCAAACAGGAUUAGAUACCCUAGUAGUC
rnacentral:rRNA from 1 species